rnacentral:rRNA from 1 species
UACGGAGGGAGCUAGCGUUAUUCGGAAUUACUGGGCGUAAAGCGCACGUAGGCGGCUUUGUAAGUAAGAGGUGAAAGCCCAGAGCUCAACUCUGGAAUUGCCUUUUAGACUGCAUCGCUUGAAUCAUGGAGAGGUCAGUGGAAUUCCGAGUGUAGAGGUGAAAUUCGUAGAUAUUCGGAAGAACACCAGUGGCGAAGGCGGCUGACUGGACAUGUAUUGACGCUGAGGAGCGAAAGCGUGGGGAGCGAACAGG